UACGAAGGGGGCUAGCGUUGUUCGGAAUUACUGGGCGUAAAGCGCGCGCAGGCGGCUAUCCAAGUCAGUGGUGAGAGCCCGGAGCUCAACUCCGGAACUGCCAUUGAAACUGUUUAGCUUGAGGACGAGAGAGGUGAGUGGAAUUCCCAGUGUAGAGGUGAAAUGCGUAGAGAUCGGGAGGAACAUCAGUGGCGAAGGCGGCCAUCUGGGCAGUGACUGACGCUGAGGCGCGACAGCGUGGGGAGCAAACAGG
rnacentral:rRNA from 1 species